UGGGGAAUAUUGCACAAUGGGCGCAAGCCUGAUGCAGCCAUGCCGCGUGUAUGAAGAAGGCCUUCGGGUUGUAAAGUACUUUCAGCGGGGAGGAAGGGAGUAAAGUUAAUACCUUUGCUCAUUGACGUUACCCGCAGAAGAAGCACCGGCUAACUCCGUGCCAGCAGCCGCGGUAAUACGGAGGGUGCAAGCGUUAAUCGGAAUUACUGGGCGUAAAGCGCACGCAGGCGGUUUGUUAAGUCAGAUGUGAAAUCCCCGGGCUCAACCUGGGGACUGCAUCUGAUACUUGCAAGGUUGAGUCUCGUAGGGGGGGGUAGAAUUCCAGGUGUAGCGGUGAAAUUCGUAGAGGGCUGGAGGAAUACCGGUGGCGAAGGCGGCCCCCUGGACGAAGACUGACGCUCAGGUGCGAAAGCGUGGGGAGCAAACAGG
rnacentral:rRNA from 1 species